rnacentral:tRNA from 1 species
GGGGGUGUAGCUCAGAGGUAGAGUGCAUGCUUAGCAUGAGGUCCUCGGUUCAAUCCCCAGCACUUCCA